ensembl:lncRNA
UAAGAAAAACAACUCUAAACGACUACAAACUAACAGUAACACUAAACGUAUUUUGCAGUGCAACCCUGCUUUCGGGCUACGGAGAAAAACGUAUUGCAGCAGGUCUUUUCGUCAACGAAUUUGACUUUCAAACCAAAAAGUUAUGGCAUGGAUAUAUUUACAAGCUUCGUUUUAGAGAAUUUGGCAGUAUGUCCAACCGGCCUCACAACCGCAGACCACGUGUAACCAUGCCAGCCCAGGACAUCCACAUCCAGAUCACCUGUGGGAUCGUCUGAGAACAGCCACCCGGACAGCUGAUGAAACUGAAGAGUAUUUCUGUCUGCAAUAAAGCAGACACUUAUUCUAAUUGGCUGUGCUUGACUCCCAAGUGGGUGGGGCUAUGCCCUCCCAGGCCCACCCAUGUCUAC